CACACCUGCCCCCACAUGAUCCUCCCUCCCGUCUGUGCUCAUGGAUGAACUGCUGAUGCUCCCAGUUAAGGCCACCCUCUUCACUUGGGUCCUGGAUACCACCCCCUCUCGCUUACUCUCCGACGGUACAAGAGCCCACAGGUUGAGGGGGAAGCCCAAGCUGCCCACAGAAAAGCCUAUAUGGAGAAAAACCAACAACCAGCACCACCUUACGUGCAGUAUGACUGAACCACUUGGGAAGUAG
rnacentral:lncRNA from 1 species